ACGGUCCUAAGGUAGCGAAAUUCCUUGUCGGGUAAGUUCCGACCUGCACGAAUGGCGUAACGACUUCCCCGCUGUCUCCAACAUCAACUCAGCGAAAUUGAAUUCCCCGUGAAGAUGCGGGGUACCCGCGGUCAGACGGAAAGACCCCGUGCACCUUUACUAUAGCUUUGCAGUGGCAUCAGGAAGCCGAUGUGCAGGAUAGGUGGGAGACUUGGAACUUGUGGCGCAAGCUAUGAGGGAGCCAUCCUUGAGAUACCACCCUUCUGCUUUCUGUUGUCUAACCGUGGCCAGUUAUCCUGGUCCGGGACCCUGCAUGGUGGGUAGUUUGACUGGGGCGGUCGCCUCCCAAAUGGUAACGGAGGCGCGCGAAGGUAGGCUCAAGCUGGUCGGACAUCAGCUGUGGAGUGUAAUGGCAUAAGCCUGCCUGACUGCGAGACUGACAAGUCGAGCAGAGACGAAAGUCGGCCAUAGUGAUCCGGUGGUCCCGAGUGGAAGGGCCAUCGCUCAACGGAUAAAAGGUACGCCGGGGAUAACAGGCUGAUACUGCCCAAGAGUCCAUAUCGACGGCAGUGUUUGGCACCUCGAUGUCGGCUCAUCUCAUCCUGGGGCUGGAGCAGGUCCCAAGGGUAUGGCUGUUCGCCAUUUAAAGAGGUACGUGAGCUGGGUUUAGAACGUCGUGAGACAGUUCGGUCCCUAUCUGCCGUGGGUGUAGGAUACUUGAGAGGAGUUGCCCCUAGUACGAGAGGACCGGGGUGAACGAUCCACUGGUGGACCUGUUGUUGCGCCAGCAGCAGUGCAGGGUAGCUAUGAUCGGACAGGAUAACCGCUGAAGGCAUCUAAGCGGGAAGCCCCCCUCAAAACAAGGUAUCCCUGAGGGCCGUGGAAGACCACCACGUCGAUAGGCCGGAGAUGUAAGCAUGGUAACAUGUUCAGUUGACCGGUACUAAUGGCCCGAUAGGCUUGAUUUG
rnacentral:rRNA from 1 species